rnacentral:rRNA from 1 species
UACGUAGGUGGCAAGCGUUGUCCGGAUUUACUGGGCGUAAAGGGCGCGUAGGCGGUCAGCACAAGUCAGUUGUGAAAUCUCCGGGCUUAACUCGGAACGGUCAAGUGAAACUGUCAAGCUAGAGUGCAGAAGGGGCAAUCGGAAUUCUUGGUGUAGCGGUGAAAUGCGUAGAUAUCAAGAGGAACACCUGAGGUGAAGACGGGUUGCUGGGCUGACACUGACGCUGAGGCGCGAAAGCCAGGGGAGCAAACGGG